UACGUAGGAUGCAAGUGUUGUCCGGAAUUAUUGGGCGUAAAGAGCGCGCAGGCGGUCUGCCAAGUCAGAUGUGAAAGAGGCCGGCUUAACCGGCAAGGGUCAUUUGAAACUGACAGACUAGAGUGCAGCAGAGGAUAGCGGAAUUCCCGGUGUAGUGGUGAAAUGCGUAGAUAUCGGGAGGAACACCAGUGGCGAAGGCGGCUAUCUGGGCUGCAACUGACGCUGAGGCGCGAAGGCUAGGGUAGCAAACAGG
rnacentral:rRNA from 1 species